CUGAAGAAUUCAGUGUUGCCAUUACCAGUCAGUAAUUCCACUCAAUUAGGACAAUAGACUUCCAUUUAUUACUGAACUCCUAAUUGCUACUCAUUUUCCUGGUUAGUAAUUGCCAAUCCUAUCAGACAAUGUGCUUAAAGAAAAUUCUGCCAUGAAAUUAUAUUUCUCUCCAUCACGGGAAAGGUGGAAUCAGAGUCCUUACGUGGUCAGGAGUUGGGUCCUCUUCUCUAGCUCCAUGCGUCUCCAGGCUCGGGGGUUUUAAAGGCUGGUGUGCCCCAGGGUUGGCUGCUGGUGCUGCGAUCCGCGGGAGACUUGCCCACAAAGGAAAGGCGUAUCCAGGUAGCCAGAGAAUCCCAAAGCCAAACCUAGCCGAAGAGGAUGCAAAAACAAAACCACCCGAAGCGGUCUCCGCAUUUCCAGAAGACUAAGUUCAAAGUCUCCAGGCAGGGCGCAUUUUAGGUCUUGAGGUGUACGUCCACGUCAGGGGGCAGGUUCGGCAUCUGCUGCUUCUCAGCCUCAGGAGACUCAAGACGGAAGUCCGAGGGUGGCAGCCGUGCGGUACCACGGCUGGAGCCAGCCGGCCUCUGCCUCUGCCUCCCCGGGUCUGGCUUCCGAGGUGGGUUCGCGGGCACUGGCAGGUGCCGGGGAAACUUGCCGGCACGCCGUCCGCCGCCUCUGGACGCCCGGGCAGCCCCGCACUGGAGCUGGAACGAGUCCUGGCAGCCGGCUCCGCGGGAGCUCCCGGGCGGCGAUCAGACGCGAGCGAUCUACCCGCGGCUCGCGGAUGCCUCGGCCCAGGAGCUGCGCGCCGCCCGCCCCAGCCCCGCCCCGGCCCGCGGAGCGCCCCGGCCCGCCUCGCUCCUCAUGACCGUCUCCUAAUUAGCUCAGAAGACUGCAACUCGCCGGCUAGCAAAGACACCCACGUUGACAAUGGGCUCAAGCCAUUUACAGCCGGAAGAUGCUCUGAAUGAAGUAUCUACUCCAACUUCAUGUUACAGAGGAGGGAACUGAAGCAGAAAGGAUGAAGGAGCUGUGAAGAUGAUCAUCUCUAUUGAAGGCUCAGCCAUGAGGCAGUCCGUGAGCCUCCUGGGAAGCCUAGAGGUUUGUUUCUACAUGUCUGGUGGCUGCAGAGUUUGGAGAGCCGUGCCAACUGCAGUACCAGCCAAAUUGAGGAAUGGGGGAUUAUCUGCUCACAGCCAGAUCAGGGUGAGAGAAAAGAGACCAGCAAAUAGCCCUGACACAUGCGUAGACUACAAAGUAUGUUGCAGGUGGGGGGAGCAUAAACAAACGCAUGGAGCAUAUUAAGAAGAGAGUCGGGGCAGGCGGGGUGGCUCAUGCCUGUAACCCCAGCACUUUCGGAGGCUGAGGCGGGAGAAUCACUUGAGGUCAGGAGUUUGAGACCAGCCUAGCCAACAUGGUGAAACCCUGUCUCUACUAAAAAUAUAUAAAGUUAGUCAGGCGUGAUGGCCAGUGCCUGUAAUCCCAGCUACCUGGGUGGCUGAGGCAGAAGAACCGCUUGAACCUGGAGGUGGAGGUUGCGGUGAGCUGAGAUAGCACCACUGCACUCCAGCCUGGGGGACAGAGUGAGACCCUGUCUCAAAACAAACAAACAAACAAACAAACAAACAAAGACUGGGUAAACCCGUUGCUAGGAACAAAAGCUUCCUGUCAAGGAGUAGCCUGGUGUGGGUCUUGGAACUUUCCUCCAGCAAAGCGGGCAGCAUGGCCUAUGAACCAAAAGCUUUGAAACAGACACCCACAAAUGGGCUCUGUCACACCACGUCUGGUGUCACAUUCAGGAGCACCUAAUCUUUCACAUUUGCCUUGGGACCCAUCUGGGGUGGGGGCAGGUGGGGUGGGGACAGGUGGGGUGGGUAUCAGCAGCCUCUCUUCCUGAGCCUUACUCAAGUCACACACAAAGGCAGGCCAGGACUGGAACCAACUUUUCUGUCUUAGUUCCAAGCACUUUGCCACCCAUGUUGCCAAUCUAGGUAAAAUUGUAAAUCUGAAAGAUGACACCUUAACUACAAGUUCCUUUAACUCUGGAGAGAGUUAAAUAAAAAUAAUGUAGUGGGCACUCUGCUUACUAGAAGUGUUAUAAAUAUCAAUACAAUGAAACAUUUGAAACCGAUGGCACUCUGAAAGGACAGCUAUGGUAAAUGAGGAAAACAACACGAAAAAGGCCAUUAUUUUGCUUAUUGGGAGAGUUUUCCAUUCACAACUACACGUAUGUUUGUUACAACUGGGAAAUCUGUUAUGUUUUGUUGACAACUCAGACUGUUUCUACAUUCCUGCCACAUUGCUGGGAGAUUUCCAGGCUCAAGGAGAUAAUACGUUCAUGUGUUUAGGCACCAGGGCUUUUAGUGUAUUUACGAUUUAACAGAAGUUUCUUUUCGGUCAUAAAAUAUAAAACUAUGAUGACCGGCUCAAAGGUCUGGAGGGACGAGCUUGGGAAAAGGAAAUUACCCUACUAGUCUAACAAUGCUACCCUUCUCUUCAAAACAGAUCCUCAGAGCUGCUUCAACCACUACCCUAUAUCCAAAGAGUUUCUAAAAUAAAGGAACAGUAUGCCCCCAAAAGUUCUAACAACCUCUAGGGAGAUAGGGGAUGGUAAGAACAAGGCAGUUUGAGUCAGAAAGAUCUGAGUUCUGA
rnacentral:lncRNA from 1 species